rnacentral:rRNA from 1 species
AACGAACGCUGGCGGCGUGCCUAACACAUGCAAGUCGAACGAAACCGUCGUGCCUAGUGGCGCACGGCUACGUAACGCGUGGGAACCUACCCUUAGGUUCGGUAUAACUCCCCGAGAGGGAUGCUAAUGCCGGAUAGUGUCUUCGCAGCAAAGAUUUAUCGCCUUUGGAUGGGCCCUCGUUGGAUUAGCUAGUUGGUAGUGUAAAAGCCUACCAAGGGGACGAUCCAUAGCUGGUCUGAGAGGAUGCUCAGCCACACUGGCACUGAGACACGGCCCAGACUCCUACGGGAGGCAGCAGUGGGGAAUACUGGACAAUGGGCGAAAGCCUGACCCAGCAAUGCCGCGUGAGUGAUGAAGGCCUUAGGGUUGUAAAGCUCUUUUACCCGGGAUGAUAAUGACAGUACCGGGAGAAUAAGCUCCGGCUAACUCCGUG